rnacentral:rRNA from 1 species
CGCGCAGGCGGCAACCUAAGUGUCGUGUGAAAGCCCCCGGCUCAACCGGGGGAGGCCAUGGCAAACUGGGUCGCUCGAGCUGCGGAGAGGCCCCUCGAAUUGCCGGUGUAGCGGUGAAAUGCGUAGAGAUCGGCAGGAAGACCAAGGGGGAAGCCAGGGGGCUGGCCGCAGGCUGACGCUGAGGCGCGACAGCGUGGGGAGCAAACCGGAUUAGAUACCCGGGUAGUCCACGCCGUAAACGAUGACCACUCGGCGUGCGGCGACAUUGACGUCGCGGCGCGCCCUAGCUCACGCGAUAAGUGGUCCGCCUGGGAACUACGAGCGCAAGCUUAAAACUCAAAGGAAUUGACGGGGACCCGCACAAGCGGUGGAGCAUGUGGUUUAAUUCGACGCAACGCGAAGAACCUUACCUGAGUUCAAGAUACGAGAAGCGCCGGAAUCGGCGUGGCGGGCAGGAGUCGUAUCAGGUGCUGCAUGGCUGUCGUCAGCUCGUGUCGUGAGAUGUUGGGUUAAGUCCCGCAACGAGCGCAACCCUUG